rnacentral:rRNA from 31 species
GCGACCCCAGGAUGGGCGGGAUUACCCGCUGAGUUUAAGC